ACCUGAGUGGCUCAGUCGGUUAAGCAACUGACUUCAGCUCAGUUCAUGAUCUCCCGGUUCGUGGGUUCAAGCCCUGUUGCAGGGU
rnacentral:tRNA from 1 species